UGCCGAUACUCCCAGAGCUUUAGCACGAGGUCAUUAUUGAUUCAUUUUCUCACCUCACAACUCGGUCUCAUAAGCAAUUGUGCUCUCGUGAAGGAACCUUACCUGCAUCUAGAAAAUCAUAGCCGAGGAGCUAAGCUACCUGAACCGAGUCGAGGAGCUGAGAGAAUCCGAUUAUUUCAUUUCGUCAAAUCAACACAU